AGUGCAGUCAUCAUUUCCAAUCCGAGCAGGCCAGCGUCAAGUUCAGGUGGUCGUCUAAUACGUCCACAACUUGCCUGUGAACAACGACAUUGAGGAAACUAAGAGAGGUCGGACAAAUGUGUAAUGUUGGGCUCCUUCCAGUCUUCUUGGGAUCAUCUUCGAGUCCGGUUUUGGAGGGUUUCGCUCACUGGUGUCCCAUCAGACAACGAUGCGGAAGGUUCAUAGAUGCAGCUUUUCAAAACUAUCAGCUAAACCUGUAUAAGACUGACCUUCUACUGAUCCCAAACUAGGGCCAACUCCGUCACAUUGUCAACCCCAAUUAGGCAUCUGCCCCAAACAAGGUGAUCUUACUGAGUCAUUGUUCCCCAAUAGUGUAGCAAGCGAUCCGAGGCUAAAGUACUAGACCCAUAUCUUUAUGUUUGUAUGUCCAUCCAUUAUCUUUAUUGCUAUUGUUUUGCUUUUGGUAAGUAAUUUAUUGAUGCAGUCAUGCACUACUCAGAGAUGGCAUUUUUUGAUUCCACAGGGCCCAUAACACCAUCAGCUCCUUUUGUUAUUGACUCAGUGCUGACUGUACUCUGCUGGCGCAUUGCCCCUUGGUGUGCUUGCCUCAGUGUCCGUCACUUCAACUAGUGUAUGCUAUUGACUAUGUCUCUCUUAGUCAAUUUGGACCUUAGCAUCUUUGUAAUGUAAU